UACGUAGGGGGCAAGCGUUGUCCGGAUUUACUGGGCGUAAAGAGCGCGUAGGCGGAAGCUUAAGCGGUGCCUGAAAGCCCCCGGCUCAACCGGGGAGGGUGGUGCCGAACUGGGCUUCUUGAGGGCGAUAGAGGAGAGUGGAAUUCCGGGUGUAGCGGUGAAAUGCGUAGAGAUGCGGAGGAACACCGAUGGCGAAGGCAGCCCCCUGGGCUAACACUGACGCUCAGGCACGAAAGCGUGGGGAGCAAACAGG
rnacentral:rRNA from 1 species